rnacentral:rRNA from 1 species
AAGCAGGUCAUAGUGAUCCGGUGGUUCUGAAUGGAAGGGCCAUCGCUCAACGGAUAAAAGGUACUCCGGGGAUAACAGGCUGAUACCGCCCAAGAGUUCAUAUCGACGGCGGUGUUUGGCACCUCGAUGUCGGCUCAUCACAUCCUGGGGCUGAAGUAGGUCCCAAGGGUAUGGCUGUUCGCCAUUUAAAGUGGUACGCGAGCUGGGUUUAGAACGUCGUGAGACAGUUCGGUCCCUAUCUGCCGUGGGCGCUGGAGAAUUGAGGGGGGCUGCUCCUAGUACGAGAGGACCGGAGUGGACGCAUCACUGGUGUUCGGGUUGUCAUGCCAAUGGCACUGCCCGGUAGCUAAAUGCGGAAGAGAUAAGUGCUGAAAGCAUCUAAGCACGAAACUUGCCCCGAGAUGAGUUCUCCCUGACUCCUUGAGAGUCCUGAAGGAACGUUGAAGACGACGACGUUGAUAGGCCGGGUGUGUAAGCGCAGCGAUGCGUUGAGCUAACCGGUACUAAUGAACCGUGAGGCUUAACCUUACAACGCCGAAGGUGUUU